UUAAAAUUUAAAUUUGGCAUAAAAUGGAUGCCCUGACUCAAAUAUCCGAUGAAGGACGUGCUAGUCUGCGAUAAGCCUAGAGGAGUUGACAAGAAACAUUAUAACUCUAGGAUUUCCGAAUGGGGGAACCUAAUGUGGGUAAUCCGCAUUUUCUAGUAAAUAGAAGGACACAUUGUGAAGUGAAAUAUCUAAGUAGCAAUGGAAAAGACAUCAAUUGAGAUUCCCGUAGUAGUGACGAGCGAAAUGGGAACAGCCUAAACCGUGGAUACUGUAGGUAGCUUUUGGUACCACGGGGUUGUAGGAAUAAUAUUAGGUGAGGCUAAUAAACCUGACAUUAUUUGAAUUAUUAAAAGAACUGGUUGGGAAGUCAGACCAUAGAGGGUUAAAGUCCCGUAAAUUAAAAUAUUUCAAAUGAUGUUUAUUAUUUCCUGAGUAGAUUCAGACACGAGAAAUCUGGAUUGAAUCUGGGGAGACCACUCUCCAAGGCUAAAUAGUAUUUGAGAUCGAUAGCGAACUAGUACCAUGAGGGAAAGGUGAAAAGAACCCUGGAAAGGGAGUGAAAUAGAACCUGAAAUUUUAUGCUUUCAAAGAGAUGGAGUCCUUUUGGAUGACAUCGUACUUUUUGUAGAACGGACCAACGAGUUAGUGUAUGUGGCAAGGUUAAGGAAGUUUAAUCCGUAGCCGUAGUGAAAGCGAGCCUUAAUAGGGCGAUAAGUCAUAUAUACUAGACCCGAAACUGGGUGAGCUUCCCAUGAGCAGGCUGAAGUAGGGGUAAAACCCUAUGGAGGGCCGAACCAAUUGGAACUGCGAGUCCACUGGAUGACUUGUGGGAAGGAGUGAAAAGCUAAUCGAACCCAGAGAUAGCUGGUUCUCCGCGAAAUAGCUUUAGGGCUAGCUUUGAUUAAUUGUUAUAUAGGGGUAGAGCUCUGAUAGGACUAGCGGGUCUCAUGACUUAGCAAAUUCUGAUAAACUUCGAAUACUAUAUAAUUUAAAUCAAAAGUCAGACGGUGAGAGAUAAGUCCCAUCGUCAAAAGGGAAACAGCCCAGAUUACUAUCUAAGGUCCCUAAUUAACAGCUAAGUGGAAAAGGAUGUGAGAUUGCUAAGACAACCAGGAGGUUGGCUUAGAAGCAGCCACCCCUUAAAAGAGUGCGUAAUAGCUCACUGGUCAAGCGAACUUGCGCCGAAAAUCCAACGGGGCUAAAGUUGUUAACCGAAGAUGUAAACUUACUUUGUAAGUGGUAGCGGAGCGUUCUGUAUGUUGAUGAAGGUAAAAGGCGACUUUUAUUGGAGAUAUCAGAAGUGAAAAUGUUGGUAUGAGUAACGUAAUGAAAAUGAAAACUUUUCACACCGAAUACCCAAGGUUUCCUACACAACGUCAGUCGAUGUAGGGUUAGUCGGUCCUAAGGUGAUACCGAUAGGUUAAGCCGAUGGAUAAGAGGUUAAUAUUCCUCUACUACUAAUAUUUUGCUAAGUGGGGACAUAUUGAGAUAUAGAAGGCACUUAAUUAAUUGUGUUAUGACAACAAAUCUUGAGUUAUUGGAAAAUCCGUAAUUCUUUAAAGAUGAGUUUAGUUAAAUUGAGUAGAUUUCUUCGGAAAUUUUAUAAGAUGGCUUCUACUAUAUUUUGGUAUCAAGAAAAGCCUCUAUGCGUUAAUGUAUUAGUAACCGUACCAAUAACGAACACUCGUGGGUUAGUGGAGAACACUAAGGUGAACGAGAUAACUAUGCUUAAGGAACUCUGCAAAACAGCGGUCGUAACUUCGGGAUAAGACCUACCUAUAGAACAUUUAUUUCUAUAGGUUGCAACUAAAGAACUCAGGCGACUGUUUACCAAAAACACAGCUCUCUGCAAAAUCGUAAGAUGAUGUAUAGGGGGUGAUGCCUGCCCAGUGCCAGAAGAUUACGUGGAUGUGUGCAAGCACUGAAAUUAAGUCCUGGUGAACGGCGGCCGUAACUAUAACGGUCCUAAGGUAGCGAAAUUCCUUGUCGGGUAAGUUCCGACCCGCACGAAUGGCAUAACGGUCUGAGUACUGUCUCAAGCAUAGGCUCGGUGAAAUUGCAAUGUCGGUAAAAAUGCCGACUAUCUGCAGCAAGACGGAAAGACCCUAUGGAGCUUUACUACAGCUUAGUAUUGAAUUAUGGUUUAAGGUGUGCAGGAUAGGUGGGAGACUUUGAAGUAGAAGCGUUAGCUUUUAUGGAGUCAUCCUUGAGAUACCACCCUUCUUAAAUUGUAAUUCUAACCCCAAAAAUUGGGGAACAGUGCUUGGUGGGUAGUUUAACUGGGGCGGUUGCCUCCUAAAGAGUAACGGAGGCGCGCAAAGGUUGACUAUCUUCGGAUGGAAAUCGAAGAUAUAGUGUAUUCGCAUAAGUCAGCCUGACUGAGAGACCUACAAGUCGACCAGACACGAAAGUGGGCGAAAAUGAUCAGGCAUUAACAUGUGGAAGUGAUGUCGCUCAACGGAUAAAAGUUACCCUAGGGAUAACAGGCUGAUCGCGUCCAAGAGUUCACAUCGACGACGCGGUUUGGCACCUCGAUGUCGGCUCGUCGCAUCCUGGGGGUGGAGAAGCUCCCAAGGGUAUGGCUGUUCGCCAUUUAAAGCGGUACGCGAGCUGGGUUCAGAACGUCGUGAGACAGUUUGGCCCCUAUCUGCUGUAGGCAUUUAGAAAUUUGAGAAAAUCUGCUUCUAGUACGAGAGGACCGGAGUGGACGAACCUCUGGUGUAUCGGUUGUUUGGUAUACAAGCAUUGCCGAGUAGCUAAGUUCGGAAGGGAUAACCACUGAAAGCAUCUAAGUGGGAAGCCCAUUUCAAGAUUAGAUUUCUCUGCCUUGAGCAAUAAGUCCCCAUGGAGACUACAUGGUUGAUAGGUUGCAGAUGUAAGAGUAGUGAUACUUUCAGUCGAGCAAUACUAAUAGGACGAAUGGAUUUUAUUA
rnacentral:rRNA from 1 species